rnacentral:rRNA from 1 species
CCUACGGGAGGCAGCAGUGGGGAAUCUUGGACAAUGGGCGCAAGCCUGACCCAGCAACGCCGCGUGAAGGAAGAAGGCUUUCGGGUUUGAAACUCCCUUUGACAGGGAAGCACAGAAGACGGUACCUGUCGAAUAAGGCACGGCCAACUACGAGCCAGCAGCCACCGUCAUACGUAGGUGGCAAGUGUUGUCCGGAUGUACUGGGUGUAAAGGGCGGGUAGCCGGGCUGACAAGUCAGAUGUGAACUCCGGGGGCUCAACCCCCGAACUGCAUUUGAAACUGUUGGUCUUGAGUAUCGGAGAGGCAGGCGGAAUUCCUGGUGUAGCGGUGAAAUGCGUAGAUAUUAGGAGGAACACCAGUGGCGAAGGCGGCGUGCUGGACACCAACUGACGGUGAGGCGCGAAGGCGUGGGGAGCGAACAGGAUUAGAUACCCCAGUAGUC